rnacentral:rRNA from 1 species
UACGUAGGGGGCAAGCGUUGUCCGGAUUCAUUGGGCGUAAAGAGCGUGUAGGCGGCCAGGUAGGUCGGUUGUGAAAACUCGAGGCUUAACCUCGAGCUGUCGGCGGAAACCAUCUGGCUAGAGUCCGGAAGAGGAGAAUGGAAUUCCCGGUGUAGCAGUGAAAUGCGCAGAUAUCGGGAAGAACACCCGUGGCGAAGGCGGUUCUCUGGGACGGUACUGACGCUGAGACGCGAAAGCGUGGGGAGCGAACAGG